AACGAACGCUGGCGGCAUGCCUAACACAUGCAAGUCGAACGAGACCUUCGGGUCUAGUGGCGCACGGGUGCGUAACGCGUGGGAACCUGCCCUUAGGUUCGGAAUAACUCAGAGAAAUUUGAGCUAAUACCGGAUAAUGUCUUCGGACCAAAGAUUUAUCGCCUUUGGGUGGGCCCGCGUAGGAUUAACUUGUUGGUGGGGUAAUGGCCUACCAAGGCGACGAUCCUUAGCUGGUCUGAGAGGAUGAUCAGCCACACUGGGACUGAGACACGGCCCAGACUCCUACGGGAGGCAGCAGUGGGGAAUAUUGGACAAUGGGCGAAAGCCUGAUCCAGCAAUGCCGCGUGAGUGAUGAAGGCCUUAGGGUUGUAAAGCUCUUUUACCAGGGAUGAUAAUGACAGUACCUGGAGAAUAAGCUCCGGCUAACUCCGUGCCAGCCGCCGCCGUAACAC
rnacentral:rRNA from 1 species